AUCCGUCUGAUCGUUUGUCUUUCAGCUGUGACUAACAAAUACAUCCUGGUGCAGAACUUCAAGACCUGGUCUAAUGCUCAGUCUUACUGCAGACAGAGGUACACAGACCUGAGCACCAUCAACGACUGGUCGGACAACAACCAGAUAGCUUUCAUUUUGCCAACUACUGUUCAUGCCUGGAUUGGACUGUACAGAAAUUACUGGACGUGGUCAAACUCAAGCACAGCCUCCAACCUGCCAUGGGGGCUCAGGCAGCCUAAUAACAGCGUAAACUGUGCCACAAUAGUUGGAUCAACGGGCUCCUUCAACAGUCAUAACUGUGAUGACCAACGCCCCUUCCUCUGCUCCACAGAUGUCAAACCUUCAGCCUCGAGGUCAGUGAAGGUUCAGCUGAGGGCGGGAUCUGCAGACCUGAACGACCCCACAGUGCAAGAAUCCAUCCUGCAGCAGGUCAGAGGACACACGGGCCCCGAUACAAGGAACAGACCGCUAUAACUACUGUGAAAUGAUAGAGAGCAGUGAGUCUGUGCAGUCCAGGUUCAGGGACACAUGACAGCACACAGCUGCAGAGAUACGGGGCUCAUUUAAUGGAAUCCCAUCGAUUUUUAUUAUUUAACCUUUUUUUAAUUGGUAACUUGAAGAAGUCAUUUAAUUUCAGAUUACUGUGAGGAGAUGAAGUGAACCAAUGACAGGCAAUGAGGCCUAAUUCCAAACUUCAGUUUCAUCCCCAGCCAGUUCAUUUAGUUCAUUUCCCCCAGAAACAGCACGAACAACGUUUUCUGCUCACGGAAACAACGGCUGAUUAAUGAGGAGCUUCUGUUAAUGUGUGAAAACUGUUUUUUAGGUGAGGGAGAAGCUGGUGGAGCAAGGGAUCAGAGAGGAGGUGAACCUGAGGUGGAAGACGCAGCCUGAUGGGAAGAUUUUCCACAGAGAGGAGGAGACAGCCGGUUACUGUGAGAAGGAAGACUGUGGGUCGGUUUAGUCUGAACGUUACUGGCUGAUGUUCCUCAGAUGAUCUGUUGUGUAAUUCAACUUAUUUCCAUCUCUGUACUCUGACUGCUGGACUGUAAUAGCGUAGCUUUGAAUGACUGACAGUUGGAAAUAAUCCUUAUUUAUCCUAAGCUCAGAUCAAAGAGUGUCUGAUGAGCUGUUUUAUGCCUCUUUGUUUCUUCUGAUUGGUGGGCUGCAAAGUUUGCAGGUGAGCAGGUGAGCGGACCUUCUGUGUCUCAGAUAUAAAUGUUAAUGAUAUCCUGUCUCUACAUAUGAAAGUUCAAGAGGAGAAAAAAGUGAAAUUGAGUGUUCAGAGCAGUCUGAUGUCUGAGCUUUUUGACUUCAUACAUUAUAUUUCAAAUGAGCACCCAGCAAUAUAACAGUAGAUAUGCCGUAUAUGUCAGUGAAUCGCGCAUUUAUGCUCUCUAUUAUGAUAUUAAAUAUACAUUUUUCUGUAAAAGUCUCAGAAAUGUCUCUGCUGCUGUUUGAUUCUGUAAACUACAGUGAUGGCUCUGCAUCCAUCUUCAUUGUAAACUCUAUUCAAUAAAG
rnacentral:lncRNA from 1 species